rnacentral:sRNA from 1 species
GGAUGUGAGGGCCAUCUGGCUGCGACAUCUGUCACCCCAUUGAUCGCCAGGGUUGAUUCGGCUGAUCUGGCUGGCUAGGCGGGUGUCCCCUUCCUCCCUCACCGCUCCAUGUGCAUCCCUCCCAAAGCUGCACGCUCGGUUGAAGAGGACGACCAUCCCCGAUAGAGGAGGACCGUUCUUCGGUCAAGGGUAUACGAGUAGCUGCGCUCCCCUGCUAGAACCUCCAAACAAGCUCUCAAGAAUCUGCAAUCUGGCUUAGUGCUUAUGAAUUACUCUAGCUUGUGCUUAUCACAGAAUGUCUUUAUUUUUCCUUUGAUUUUUAAAGGAUAACUUUG